GAUGAACGCUAGCGGCAGGCUUAACACAUGCAAGUCGAGGGGUAGAGGAAGCUUGCUUCCUUGAGACCGGCGCACGGGUGCGUAACGCGUAUACAAUCUACCUUUUACAGAGGGAUAGCCCCAGAGAAAUUUGGAUUAAUACCUCAUAGUAUUUUCGGAUCGCAUGAUUUGAUUAUUAAAGUUCCAACGGUAAAAGAUGAGUAUGCGUCCCAUUAGCUAGAUGGUAAGGUAACGGCUUACCAUGGCAAUGAUGGGUAGGGGUCCUGAGAGGGAGAUCCCCCACACUGGUACUGAGACACGGACCAGACUCCUACGGGAGGCAGCAGUGAGGAAUAUUGGACAAUGGGCGCAAGCCUGAUCCAGCCCAUGCCGCGUGCAGGAAUAAGGUCCUAUGGAUUGUAAACUGCUUUUAUACAGGAAGAAACAACACCCUCGUGAGGGUACUUGACGGUACGUGUAUGAAUAAGGACCGG
rnacentral:rRNA from 1 species